rnacentral:rRNA from 1 species
CCUUGCCAGCCCGCUCAGAAACUCAAGGAAGUUCGACGGGGCCCGCACAAGCGGUGGAGUAUGUGGUUUAAUUCGAUGCAACGCGAAGACCUUACCUGGUCUUGACAUCCCGGAGACCCUUAGGAAACUAGGGGUGCUUCCAUCUGGAAGAAUCUGGAGACAGGUGCUGCAUGGCUGUCGUCAGCUCGUGUCGUGAGAUGUUGGGUUAAGUCCCGCAACGAGCGCAACCCUUGCCUUUAGUUGCCAGCAGUUCGGCUGGGCACUCUAAAGGGACUGCCGGUGUUAAACCGGAGGAAGGUGGGGAUGACGUCAAGUCCUCAUGGCCUUUAUGACCAGGGCUACACACGUACUACAAUGGCCGAUACAAAGGGCAGCGACACUGCGAGGUGAAGCCAAUCCCGUAAAAUCGGUCUCAGUCCGGAUUGGAGUCUGCAACUCGACUCCAUGAAGUUGGAAUCGCUAGUAAUCGUGGAUCAGCAUGCCACGGUGAAUACGUUCCCGGGCCUU